rnacentral:miRNA from 1 species
UGACUAGAUUCACACUCAUCCA